rnacentral:rRNA from 1 species
AGUGAACGCUGGCGGUAGGCCUAACACAUGCAAGUCGAACGGCAGCACAGUAAGAGCUUGCUCUUACGGGUGGCGAGUGGCGGACGGGUGAGGAAUACAUCGGAAUCUACUUUUUCGUGGGGGAUAACGUAGGGAAACUUACGCUAAUACCGCAUACGACCUACGGGUGAAAGCAGGGGAUCUUCGGACCUUGCGCGAUUGAAUGAGCCGAUGUAGGAUUAGCUAGUUGGCGGGGUAAAGGCCCACCAAGGCGACGAUCCGUAGCUGGCCUGAGAGGAUGAUCAGCCACACUGGAACUGAGACACGGUCCAGACUCCUACGGGAGGCAGCAGUGGGGAAUAUUGGACAAUGGGCGCAAGCCUGAUCCAGCCAUACCGCGUGGAUGAAGAAGGCCUUCGGGUUGUAAAGCCCUUUUGUUGGGAAAGAAAAGCAGCAGGUUAAUACCCCGCUGUUCUGACGGUACCCAAAGAAUAAGCACCGGCUAACUUCGUG